rnacentral:rRNA from 1 species
UACGUAGGGGGCAAGCGUUGUCCGGAAUCACUGGGCGUAAAGCGCACGUAGGCGGAUUGCUAAGUCAGGGGUGAAAUCCUGGAGCUCAACUCCAGAACUGCCUUUGAUACUGGCGAUCUUGAGUCCGGGAGAGGUGAGUGGAACUGCGAGUGUAGAGGUGAAAUUCGUAGAUAUUAGGAAGAACACCAGUGGCGAAGGCGGCUCACUGGUCCGGUACUGACGCUGAGGUGCGAAAGCGUGGGGAGCAAACAGG